AGUGAACGCUGGCGGCAUGCCUAACACAUGCAAGUCGAACGGUAACAGGCCCGCAAGGGUGCUGACGAGUGGCGGACGGGUGAGGAAUACAUCGGAAUUUGCCCAGUCGUGGGGGAUAACGUAGGGAAACUUACGCUAAUACCGCAUACGACCUAACGGUGAAAGCGGGGGACCUGCAAGGGCCUCGCGCGGAUGGAUAAGCCGAUGUCGGAUUAGCUAGUUGGCGGGGUAAGAGCCCACCAAGGCGACGAUCCGUAGCUGGUCUGAGAGGAUGAUCAGCCACACUGGGACUGAGACACGGCCCAGACUCCUACGGGAGGCAGCAGUGGGGAAUAUUGGACAAUGGGGGCAACCCUGAUCCAGCAAUGCCGCGUGUGUGAAGAAGGCCUGGU
rnacentral:rRNA from 1 species